GCAACCCAGAGGCCGGAGUAGCGUGUCCCGCCGGACCCCGGCCCGGCUCCACCAUCCUCCCCCGCCACGGGCAGUCGGAACGUGGAAGCUGUCAUAUUCCUUAUGGUUCCAGCAGCUGGCCCAUUUGAUAAUGCAGAAUAGGACUGAAACUGUUCAGCUCCAGUCUGAAUGCAUGUGAAAACAGGGGCAUUCUAAACCUCUCAGCUGCUUGGAGGCCCACUGAGGUAAAUAGAGCUCUGCCUGGAUGCAGAGAUUUGCCUGUGCAACCCAGCUUGCAGUGUAGGAACCGUUAUUUACAAGUUUUUAAAAUGCUUCCGCAGGACUUAGAAGUUGAAUGACAACGUGCAGCAAACUUUUAUGCUAGAGAUAACAAUCUCCUAAAAAACCCACCCAACAGCUCACAGUGGUUUAUACUCUAUAAUAGCAACAUUUACACUACCUUAAAUAUAUGGGCAUGACCAAGAACCACCAUAUAAUUAUGAAUAAUAUAAAUAAAUCAGAGAGAGAAAAUGAACAAGGUUGAAUGUCAGAGUAACAACACUAUCCUGCUAAAGGUUUCGCUUUGUUGUAACCUUUGUAUCCAAUAUAAUAAGCGAGCUACAAAAGAAAGACAAUAUUAUUUAUCAUAAGCUGGCAUUUUAGAAGUUCUAAAAAAAAGUAUGGUUUGCAUUCUCUGAAACAACUUUAAACGUUUUAUAUUGGAAAUAAAUAAUAAAGAAGCUGGAAAUAAACACUUUUAAAAUGCAGGGUACUGUUUUUCACCACACAUUGCUGUACAUAUUUGUUACAGGCAUGGGCAUCCCCUCUUGGACAGUAAGUAUCAAUCCAUGCACUUCUAAGCUGCAUAUUGCUGAGGUAACUAUCUGACAAACACAGCAAACGUAUAUUAUGAUGUUCAUCAUAGCAAAAGCUUUAAGAAUGCAUUGCAACUUCCAUCAUGGACCUGUUUUCACGGUCUUAUAAUUUUCUUAGAAAAUCACUAUUGGAGGAAAAUCUGUUCAUGACUUUUUAGUUAGGCAAAGGGGCAGGAGGGAGGGAGGAAUAUUUCCUGAUUUAUAAAAGAAAACACGACCUGGUCUAGUCACUACAAAGCCACCAGGUAUGGCAGAACACAGUUGGGACAGAAAAGAGUACAAAUGUCUCCUUUAUUGAAGUACAGGUAGGGCUACAUGCAGGGCAAACAGAGCCCCAGCAGCUGAAUUCUGUGCUCUCUCAGCAGGAGAUCGUGCAGUCUGCUGGAGAGAGUGAGGCUCAUGCUGCCAAUGGGAUCAUGGUGAUGGAGCUGUGGUUAACUCACCCUGCCUAUGCAAAGUUUAAAAAAAAAAAUACUUAGGGAGCAGAGGGAGCCCAGACCCACUUCCUGAGCUCUGAGACUGUUCAAUCAAGUCUUUCAGGGAUUCCCCUGGAGGAAUGUAAGUCUCAUCCUGUUCAAGUCCAAUGCUGUAACGAGGUCUGGUUUCUUGCCUUUUAUGCCUACGAUUUUAGUGAAAAUUAAAUUAGUUGACAGUACAAUGAGGAAUGGAUUCUAUGUAGAAAACACUACUCACAUUUAAUUUUUAGUAUGCAUAAGUUCCCAGCAAUUAUGUGCUAGACUCAUCAACGUCUGUUUUCUGAUCUGUUCUCAACAUUAGACUGCUUUAGGUCUAUGAAAGGGACUGACUAUCAUCCUGCUUGGGGAAUCCAGCAUAAUUUUGCAUAGCCAAGUACCAACUUAAACCCCUAAUUCAGAGAAUAGUCCUAAAAACAGUGAUGCAGCAAAUACCUCACCUUUUUGUUAUGAAUGUUGUGCGUCUUUUAUGACCAAAUAAAGGCAUUUUUAUGAAUUUG